rnacentral:lncRNA from 13 species
AUUGCCAGUGUUUAUUGUUGGAGUUCUUUUGAAUCUUGAACUCUAUGUAUCAUCAUUUUGAAACAUAAUUACUUCCGUCCUGAUGUAUGAGCAUGCACAGAUGAAUACUGAGUAUUCUCUCCAUGUCAGGCACGAUGUUACAUGCUUCAAGUGUGGUUCACUAACCUCACAACUGCUGCUUGGGAUGAUGUGAGUCUUAUCCCUAUUUUACAGAGGAGGACACUUUGAUCAGAGAAGUGCAAGUCACAGCCACGUAAAUGAUAUAACUGGGAUUUUCAUCCUGGUGUUCUGGCUUUAGACCCCAAGUUUCUAACCACUAUGCCACAUUCCCUGUCUAGUGUCUCCUACCAGAUGACCAGAUAAGUGAUUGCCUAUUAUUUAUUUCUUUUUCCCACUCCAUCCUAGCAUGAUUCAUUAAACAUAGUAUGCAUGCAAAGCAUGUUAAAUGAAUGACAGAAUCAGUGACAGAAAACUGUGGCUAUUUACCAUCUUCCUUUGCUUUUGAGAAACUGAUGGCACUACAUUACCCCCGAAGCCUUUGUUUGUUGGUGAAGUGGGACUGGACAUCUGAAACAACCUGGCCAAUCAUCAUUCUCUAAUCUCCUGGUAACACUGGGUGGCUUCAGGAUUGGCAAAUAGUUGUCCCUGAGCCAACUGGAAUUCUUCCCUUGAACGUUGUCGUGUGUAAGCAGGAGAAAUCAGCAGUCUGUCAUCAGUGGCAGAAGCUUUAAGACCUAAAAUCUGGAAGUUCUUGAAGACCAUAUUUCCUGCCAUGACAAGAAAACCAGGAUGCAGACAAUGAAAAUUAACAGAAUCGACAAAGAGAAACAGAAAGAACCUACACGUGUCUCAUUGUAGAAAAUUUGGAAGUCACAGACUGAAAAAGACAGAUUCCAAUGCCAUAUUUUUGACUGGGACAAGUAGGGGUAGAACCGGUUUUUCAGCCAGGUCUUUACUCCUUAUCAGUUGGAGCAGGCAGGAUGAGGAAGACAGCCCUAGAGUCCUCAUCUUAUCCACUGUCUUCUGACCUCACUGCAAAGCUUGCUACCACUCCACAUGUCAUCUUAUUUCUGCCAGGCCUGGGCCUUAUUUUCUACCCUUCUUUUCCACUCUCUGAGGAAAUCCCAGAAGCCAUUCAGCAGUGCAGCACAUUGGUUUCUACACAAAAAUGGAAGCUGGAAGCCAGUUGUCCUUCCUGGGAUCACAGCUACACCACUUUUCUCAGCAUAUUCUGCAGGGAGACAUUACCUGUGUUAGAGGAAGAGAGAUGUGAGAAGACUCUCGUGGGAUGUUGGCCGCUGACCCUUGCCAUGACAGCAACCAGAAUGCUUUUCCACUUCCUGCCUUCAACUGCUCUUCCCAUGCUAACCCACAUCCUGCCACAGGAUACUCACUCAUCAUCACCAAGAACUGCCAAUGGAUUGCUCCAUGCACUCCAGCACUGGGUAAUUAUUCUUUGCCAUACACUGCUUCUCAGGCUUGCUCUACAAAGCAAGAGAAUGCUCCCCUGGAGAGGAGAAAUAGCUCAAAGUGAUUGUUGUAAGGGAAUGCAGAGGAAACCUCCUAUUGUCUCCUCCGUUCUCACCUUCAUGGGCCAUCUUCUGGUCUCACAUAUAUGGCCAUUUCUUUCCAUUGAGGAUAGAGACACUGGGAAAACACUCCUGGAGAGAGUGCAGAGUAGGGGCACAUCCCAUAAAAAUCCACUUUGUGUCCAGGAGGCGACUGAAUGUAUUUCCUCCACGCAUCUCAAUCUAAUUUCCCGUGGAUUUCAGAUCAUCUUUUAUUUCCAAUUAUGCUGCUGUUCACAUUAUCGAUUUGGAGGAUACAAAUGUUGAAUGACAAGAGAGGGAGAAGACGAAGGCGGGGAGGAGAAUUCCAUUUUGCCUGAAGGAUAAGAUACUCGAAAUGCCACCCUGCACAGCAUCUCCGAAGCGUUCAUCAACGUGGCAGAGGCUGGCUCAAUUAUCUUUGUGUCAGAUGAUUAUCUGAGAGCUUAAUUUAAUCUCCAUUAUCCUCCCCCGUCAUAUUUCAAUUAAAUCUGCUAUCAGAGUGUUAACACAUCUUUGAACCUGCUAUUUCUUCAGUUAAUUUUCCACUAAGAGGUGCUGGAGAGUAACAGAUGUCAUAAUUAUGCAAUUAUUAAGUGUAUUUGACACUCGUUCUCUCAGGAUUUUGUGGUUAGGGUAGGAGCGUUGGAAAAUUAAUCUGAUGACAAUAUGCUUCCGUUGUGAUCCAUAGCACCACUGCAGGCUGGGGGACUGUCCUCCCGCUGUUUCCGAGGCUGCCGCCAAAGAAGUAAAGGAUUAACUGAUUGUGCGUCAGAUUCAUUUCACUUUUGUAUGUCUGGUAAAUUGCGUGAGUUUAUUAGGUUGAGCAGAAGUUCAGAAGCAGAAGUUUUUUUUUUUUUUUUAACAGAAACCUUUUUCAAGACCUCAAGAAGUAUAUUAAGUACAUCUCAGGGAAUAUGUAAAGUUAGCAAUUAUAAAGUUAAGGGCAGUUAAUCUUGACUUUAAAAUCUUGGGUUUCAGUUGGGGAUUGGAUGCCAAAGAAUUGUAUGAUCUUGGUUAAGUCACAUCCUCUCUCUGAGCUUUGGAUCUAUGAGGAAUGAGCAGCUCAAAAUUCCGUAGUUUACUACCUCUCCCAGGUUUUCCAUUCCCUGAAAAUUGUUACGAGCUAUCUGUUUUCUCUCUUCCCUCAAUAUCAUCUAUACCUAUAGCUAUUUAAAUCCUCAAAUUUGUUAAAAUCAAAGUCUGAAAAGACGUGUCUAUCUUUUGGUCUAUAGUACAUACUCAUUAAGAUCGAAAGCUCAUCAGGUCUUCUAAGCCUGGUUUUGACAUUUACUAGCUGUGUGACCUUAGGAAUUGCUUACCCUCUUUGAGCUUUAGUUUCCUCCUCUAUAAAAUGACAAUGAUGUUGAAAUCUAUUUCAUAGGAUUGUCGAGAUGAUGAAUUAAAAUUGUAUAAGUCACAGUCCAUUACUAUGGGUCUGUCUGGCUCAUAGAAAAGGAGUUGAAAACGCAUAGGGGAAGCUGAAGUGGGGAAUGGAUACGCAGACUGCAUGGGUGUGGAUAUCCUUGGAAAUCUCCAUCUGACAUCACUUAAGGGUUUCCAUAGUAUAAAGAACAUGGGUGUGUCCUUGCAGGCUUGAGAGGUCAUCCAGUUGGAGCUCUUGCUUUUAAGCACAGAGGGGACCUUCUCACACACACUACCUGCUGUUGGAACAGUGGGGCUAGGAACCCAGUUCUCCCUUCUCCUGGUCCAGGUACAUUUCCUCACUGUUCUUGGCCUCUUAAUCAAUCUGAAUCAGCUUUACAUGAACUCUGGGUCACCAGUCUGCCAAAUCAUUCUCAGAUCCUUUUCUGCUCUUCAUCAAAUCCAGUAAUUUUCUGCCCCAUUACUCUUCCAGUUCUACCCAUGUAAGAUGAAAGGUAGAUAAUGGCCACCUACAGGCCAAUAGACAUGCUUAUGGGUGUUGCCUGGAAGUCUUUAUUUAAGGGAACUAUUUGAAAGCCAAAUAGAUAAAAAUAGGUCAAAAUAAAACUGCUCUGAUGAAAUCA